AAUCAUCCGGUUUCAUCGACUACGCGGGAAUACACCACUUCGAACAGCGCUAGCGGAUUCAUAAAAUUGGCUAAUCCGUAAGGAUCUGCUUGUGAACCUUGGAAAGCAAUUGUUUGCCGUUGCCAGACGACCUGGAUUUCAUGUUUAGCCCUGCCUACCAUUGUUCAUUCCAACAAGGAUUAUCUCGCUGCCAUUGCAGUUAAGGCGACAACAAAGUGGAAAUGGCUUACGCAUCUAUACUAAUAUAUGCCCCCCAUCGCUAGCUCUGUCCAUUGGCUCAUCAAUCAAAUAAGGACAUAACAUUAAUAAAUAUUUUCCAAAAACAAACUGUGCAAUAAGUUAUUUGUUUGUGAAAUCAGAAAUAGAAAAAGAGAGGGAGUUUGACAAUUUAUUUCAAAU